AUAGGCUAAUUAAGAGCGUAAGGGGAAUGCCUUGGCUCUCAGAGGCGAUGAAGGACGUGAUAAGCUGCGAUAAGCUGUGGGGAGUGGCACAAACACUUUGAUCCGCAGAUUUCCGAAUGGGGCAACCCGGCAUAUUGAAGAUAUGUCACACUGUAAAGUGAGCGAACCUGGUGAACUGAAACAUCUAAGUAACCAGAGGAAUAGAAAACAAAAGUGAUUCCGCUAGUAGUGGCGAGCGAACGUGGAACAGCCUAAACCUAUGUUGUUACGGCAAUAUAGGGGUUGUAGGACCUCAACAUUUAAUGCUAAUAGAACUAGAAUUUACUGGAAAGUAAAACCAUAGAAGGUGAUAGUCCUGUAUAGGUAAUUGAUGUUAUUAAUAGAGGUAUCCUGAGUAGUACGGGGCACGUGAAACCUUGUAUGAAUCUGCCAGGACCAUCUGGUAAGGCUAAAUACUCCUGAGAGACCGAUAGUGAACUAGUACCGUGAGGGAAAGGUGAAAAGAACCCUGAAUAAGGGAGUGAAAUAGAUCCUGAAACCUUACGCUUACAAGCGGUCGGAGCACAUUUAUGUGUGACGGCGUGCCUUUUGCAUAAUGAGCCUACGAGUUACCUUUGCUAGCUUGGCUAAUCCAUUCAGUGGAGCAACCGUAGCGAAAGCGAGUCUGAAUAGGGCGAAUUUGUUAGCAGUGGUAGACGCGAAACCUAGUGAUCUAUCCAUGGGCAGGUUGAAGCUGUAGUAACAUACAGUGGAGGACCGAACCCGUUGACGUUGAAAAGUCUUGGGAUGACCUGUGGAUAGGGGUGAAAGGCCAAUCAAACUCGGAAAUAGCUCGUACUCCCCGAAAUGCAUUUAGGUGCAGCGUUGUGUUAGUUUUAUAGAGGUAGAGCUACUGAUUGGAUGCGGGGGCUUCACCGCCUACCAAUUUCUGACAAACUCCGAAUGCUAUAAAAUGUUUCGCAGCAGUGAGGGCAUGGGUGCUAAGGUCCAUGUCCGAGAGGGAAAGAACCCAGACCAUCAGCUAAGGUCCCCAAGUAUAUACUAAGUUGUUUAAACGUUGUGCGAUUGCAUAGACAGCUAGGAUGUUGGCUUGGAAGCAGCCAUUCAUUUAAAGAGUGCGUAACAGCUCACUAGUCGAGCGGUCGAGCAUGGAUAAUAAUCGGGCAUAAGUAUAUCACCGAAACUAUGGCAAUAUUUAUAUUGGGUAGGGGAGCAUUCUAUUCUGCGUUGAAGGUAAACUGUGAGGUUUGCUGGAGCGUAUAGAAACGAAAAUGUAGGCAUAAGUAACGAUUAGGGGUGCGAGAAACACCCCCUCCGAAAAACUCAGGUUUCCUCAGCCAUGCUAAUCAGCUGAGGGUUAGUCAGGACCUAACGCGAACCCAAAUGGGGUAGUGGAUGGACAACCAGUUAAUAUUCUGGUACCUGCUUAACAAUAAACGUGACGGAAAAGCAAUGUCAUUGCGCACUGACGGAUGUGCGUUGAAAUCACUGUUAAGGUGAUGAUAGUACACCGAUUCUUCGGAUGAGGUGAUAAUAUGGCGGACCUUUUUCCAAGAAAAACAAGUUAAGCAGCCUGUACUGUAAACCGACACAGGUAGUUGGGAUGAGUAUUCUAAGGAGCUCGAGAGAUUCAUGGAUAAGGAACUAGGCAAAUUUGACCCGUAACUUCGGGAGAAGGGUCGCCUACUUUAUUGUAGGCCGCAGUGAAAAGGUCCAAGCGACUGUUUAUCAAAAACACAGGACUCUGCUAAGUCGAAAGACGAUGUAUAGGGUCUGACACCUGCCCGGUGCUGGAAGGUUAAGUGGAGAUGUUAGCUUCGGCGAAGCAUUGAAAUGAAGCCCCAGUAAACGGCGGCCGUAACUAUAACGGUCCUAAGGUAGCGAAAUUCCUUGUCGGGUAAGUUCCGACCUGCACGAAUGGUGUAACGAUUUGGGCACUGUCUCAGCCAUGAGCUCGGUGAAAUUGUAGUAUCGGUGAAGAUGCCGAUUACCCGCUACGG
rnacentral:rRNA from 1 species